CAGCCGCCACGGGAAAACGUAGGUGGCAAGCGUUGUCCGGAUUUACUGGGCGUAAAGCGAACGCAGGCGGACUGUUAAGUAGGAAGUGAAAGGUCGGAGCUCAACUCCAACAUUGCUUCCUAUACUGGCAGUCUUGAGUAGCGGAGAGGAAGGGGGAACGACACGUGUAGCGGUGAAAUGCGUUGAUAUGUGUCGGAACACCCAUGGCGAAAGCACCCUUCUGGACGCAAACUGACGCUCAGGUUCGAAAGCCAAGGUAGCGAACAGGAUUAGAUACCCCCGUAGUCCCUGUCUCUUAUAC
rnacentral:rRNA from 1 species